rnacentral:lncRNA from 1 species
UAUUUCUCUCAUCUGCUCAUCCUAAUUCUAUUUCCAGCUCUUCUUCUAGGUAUACCCAGUCCUCCAUUGCUGCUGGAUCAUUACAGGUGGCACCCAAACAAGGGGCCUGAACACUGGGACACCAACUGAAGGACACUGUCUUCGACGGACCUGCAUAGAAAACGGUAGAAGUUAUAUAUCCUGCAUGGUGAUUGGUUGCCUACACACAGGAUUGCCUUCAGUAAAGCUCAGUUAUUCACCAUGGCAGUUAUUCAUCGCUAUGAAGACAUGCAUUGAGUGCAUAUUCAUAUGCCCUUUGAGGCUUUGAGCUGAAUGGGAAAAGGAGUGUCUGUCAUUUUGCUGGCCUCUUGAUAAAUGGUCACUGGAAGGAAUGUUUGGAAAAUUCUUUUUCACUAAAGAGACAACUAUUUCUUUUGCUGUUUGCUUUCUGAAUGUAUCCAGAGGCUGCUACACACAGGACUGGAAGAAUGAAGCAGGGUCUGGAAUGGGCAGGAUCUUGGACUGGCUGGAAAUGACUAAAACAUGGAAGAACUCACUUAUGAGUGUGUUUGGAAGAAGACAUGAGGCAGACAUCUGCCUGUUGGAGUAGAUGAAGCCCUCUCUUUUGGCAUCUGUGACCAUGGUUUCUCAACAGCUGAGUCUAAGCCAAAGUACAACUCAGAAAAUGGACACAUCUUCUCUUCUCAUUUAAACAUAUUAGAAUGGCACCUUCUGGGCUCAGCACACACCUCUGGUAUUCCAGCAUUUGGGCAGUAGAGACAGGAGACUUAAGAAUUCAAGGUUGUUUUUGGCUACAUAGCAAGUUCAAGGCCAACUUGGACUAUAGGAGACCGUGUCUCAAAAUCCAAAACAAGAACAACAACAACCACCACCACCACCACCACCACACCCCCCCACACCCCAUACCCACAUACACCCACACCCACAUACACACUUAAAACAUGAAACCCUCAAACCCAAAAAAACAAACAAAAAAAAAAACCUAGCAAACAAAACACCAGUUUAGAUGCAAACGGAUAAUUCAAGACAGAGAAUGCUAAUGUGCUAAGGCAGGAAACUGCAUAUUUAUAAGGCAUAGGAGAUGCUGCUUCUGUGGAGCAGAAUAUGCAGCCCCGAGGGGCUGUACAAGAAGGCUGAGGAUCAAUCAUGGUUAUAGAAUAGAAAAUUUGCUCAAAAGCCUGUGGCUGGUAAGGUCUUAGGCCAUAGUGAGGAAACUAAUGUUUUUGCUAAGUGGACAUGAACUGUCUUGUAACUAUCUAUGUUUAUGACUAUAGAUCAGUCGUUUGUGUCAGAUUUGAUUGGAUAAUCUUCUUUUGCAGUAGGCAGCAGUAUCAGCAGGGACUUAAACUGGUAUAAGUAUUAAGAAUAAAUGACUGUGGAAUACCCAGUAUUUGAUGAACCAGGCGAAUCACUGUAUCUAAGGCUUUUGGAACAUUGAAGAAGGGGACGAAAGAAUGCUUGACCUGGAGAUGGAGCACUGACCUCUAGGCACGACAGUUAUUACACUCCUGAAUUCACAGCAGCUCAGAUCUCCACAUAAGACAGGACCCUCCCAAUAUCUUGUAGAAAACAGAGGCUCACAGGGUCUUAGCCUUCCCUGAGCAUUUAUUACCCAGUUAAUAGUUGAUGGGAAGAAGAGACCUUUUUGUCAGUAGUAUGGCAACUGGCAAGGUGUGCACACUCCUUUAGACAACCCUUCAUCCAUGAACGCGC